CCUACGGGUGGCAGCAGUGAGGAAUAUUGGUCAAUGGGCGCGAGCCUGAACCAGCCAAGUCGCGUGAGGGAAGACGGCCCUACGGGUUGUAAACCUCUUUUGACGGGGAGCAACGGGCACCACGUGUGGCGCCACUGAGAGUAACUGGAGAAAAAGCAUCGGCUAACUCCGUGCCAGCAGCCGCGGUAAUAAGGAGGUUGCGAGCGUUAUCCGGAUUUAUUGGGUUUAAAGGGUGCGUAGGCGGAGCGUUAAGUCAGUGGUCAGAUUGAGGGGCUCAACCCCUUCCCGCCAUUGAAACUGGCGCUCUUGAGUGGAAGAGAAGUAUGCGGAAUGCGUGGUGUAGCGGUGACAUGCAUAGAUAUCACGCAGAACCCCGAUUGCGAAGGCAGCAUGCCGGCUUCCGACUGACGCUGAAGCACGAAAGCGUGGGGAUCGAACAGGAUUAGAUACCCUUGUAGUC
rnacentral:rRNA from 1 species